GGCUGAAUUGGUAGAGCAUGGUGUUUGCAACGCCAGGGUUGUGGGUUCGAUUCCCAC
rnacentral:tRNA from 1 species